rnacentral:rRNA from 1 species
AUGAACGCUGGCGGCGUGCUUAACACAUGCAAGUCGAACGGAGUGCUCAUGACGGAGGAUUCGUCCAACGGAUUGAGUUACUUAGUGGCGGACGGGUGAGUAACGCGUGAGGAACCUGCCUCGGAGUGGGGAAUAACAGACCGAAAGGCCUGCUAAUACCGCAUGAUACAGUUGGGUCGCAUGACUCUGACUGUCAAAGAUUUAUCGCUCUGAGAUGGCCUCGCGUCUGAUUAGCUGGUUGGCGGGGUAACGGCCCACCAAGGCGACGAUCAGUAGCCGGACUGAGAGGUUGACCGGCCACAUUGGGACUGAGACACGGCCCAG